GCAGUGAAUCAAUUUAAAAGAUAUAUGAUCGAACAACAAGAAGUGUUUGCAUACAUUCAAUACUGACAGGAGGAGCAAAGGAACAGGUCUUGGAGUUAAGUCAACAGGAGAAGAGUCAAGUGAGGUCACAGAUGAGCGUCAAGCGUGGAGAAAAGGCUGGUUCCAAGGAGAAAAAUAACCAGAAAUCCCUACAAAACAUUUCUCAAGGGCCCUGCAAGAAACCUGACCCAGCCAAUAAUGCCUUGUUCUCUGGAGCUACUCAUUAAAUCUGUUUACAGUGCCUUGUCACUCAACUCUAAAAGCUAUGAACUAUUACCUAAUCCUCAAGUGAAAAGUAAAAAUUUUAUUAAGUAUCAGGUAAGAAAUUAUUUAAUAAAACUUACAGAAAAGUCAACAAUUGUUUCUAAAUAAAACAUUUAUCUUACCAGAAUGGGCCACUUCAAAAAACAGAAAUGUGGCAGAAACUACUGCUUUAGGAUGAGACUGCGUCUGGCUUCAAGAAUUCUACAACAUAAUCUUAAAAUGACAAUAUAGUCUAAGACUACAAGAAUACCAAGAUUUACAAAUGUUGACAUCACAAAAGCACAAAAUCUCAUAUUACUUUUUUUUUCUCCAUUGAGUUACGAGGAACAAUUCAAGACGCAUCAAAAGAAUCAAAGAC